rnacentral:rRNA from 1 species
GACGAACGCUGGCGGCGUGCCUAAUACAUGCAAGUCGAACGCAGUGGGGACGGGUGAGUAACACGUGGGUAACCUCCCAUCAGAGGGGAUAACACUUGGAAACAGGUGCUAAACCGAUACUGAUGGAUGGACCCGCGGUUCAUUAGGUAGUUGGUGAGGUAACGGCUCACCAAGGCCACGAGGCAUAGCCGACCUUGACGGGUGAGCGGCCACACGGUGACUGAGACACGGCCCAGACUCAUACGGGAGGCAGCAGUAGGGAAUCUUCGGAAAUGGACGAAAUUCUGACCGAGAAACGCCGCGUGAGUGAAGAGGGUUUUCGGAUCGUAAAACUCUGUUGUUAGAGAAGCGGUAUCUAACCAGAAAGCCACGGCUAACUACGUGCCAGCAGCCGCGGUAAUAC